AUUGAACGCUGGCGGCAGGCCUAACACAUGCAAGUCGAGCGGUAGCACAGAGAGCUUGCUCUCGGGUGACGAGCGGCGGACGGGUGAGUAAUGUCUGGGAAACUGCCUGAUGGAGGGGGAUAACUACUGGAAACGGUAGCUAAUACCGCAUAACGUCGCAAGACCAAAGAGGGGGCCCUUCGGGCCUCUUCCCAUCAGAUGUGCCCAGAUGGGAUUAGCUAGUAGGUGGGGUAACGGCUCACCUAGGGGACGAUCCCUAGCUGGUCUGAGAGGAUGACCAGCCACAAUGGAACUGAGACACGGUCCAGACUCCUACGGGAGGCAGCAGUGGGGAAUAUUGCACAAUGGGCGCAAGCCUGAUGCAGCCAUGCCGCGUGUAUGAAGAAGGCCUUCGGGUUGUAAAGUACUUUCAGCGGGGAGGAAGGUGUUGAGGUUAAUAACCUCAGCAAUUGACGUUACCCGCAGAAGAAGCACCGGCUAACUCCGUGCCAGCCGCCGCGGUAA
rnacentral:rRNA from 1 species